rnacentral:lncRNA from 1 species
GAAUAAUAUCCACAAUGCCAAGCGCAGCAUCUGACACAGACAGUGCCAGAGCCUAAACUAUAAACAUGGAGAUAUUUGGAACUUUGGAACCUCUGAGAGUCUAAUGCAUCAGAACUAGCACAGAAGAGGAGUCUUAGAAACCGGAUUCUCAAUCUGAGCUUCAACCCUACCAGCUAGAGAUCCUGAAUUCUUGUGAAUGAAGCAGAAUCAUUGAUUGAGCAACUGGAAAUGAAUGCAAAAGUAGAAGAUGCACAUUGUGAAUCUCCUAAGAAGCAAAUAUGAAUCCAUUCCUUCCUCCUCUCCAAGAAAUUUCUCAGGGCAACGGAGUCUACUGAUGCAUGAGCACUCAAAAGACACCAUAAGGCGUUUGCUGCAUGACUUAAUUCUUUUUUGGACACAGAGCAGAUUUUGAUGACUUACUAUGAUCAUUUUAAAUUCAGAACACUGCAUCGCCAGCAUUUAGGAAUUGCACUAAAGGAAAGUGAGAAGUGAAAAAUGCGAAAUGAUUGUCAUGGUCACCACACAUCCAAGAUUUUCUGCGACAGUCCCAAUUUCAAAGAUUUUACCUUGUUAUUCCUUUAAUUAUACUCUUUCUUAUUAGACCAACUAGUCAGGUUUGGAAAAACUGUUUUUAAAGGGCCACUGUUAUUCUUAGGUAUAUGUUAAUUAAUAUUUUACAAAACCAAAGAAAGUCUUUAGAAUAUUACGUGAAUAUUCUGUUCAUUCUUUUCUUUUUUAGAGAUGAGGUCUUGCUCUGUCACCCAGGCUGGAGUGCAGUGGUGCCAUCAUAGCUCACUAUAGCCUCAAACUACUGGGCUCAAGCUACCCUCCGACCUUGGCCUCCCAAAGUGCUGGGAUUAUAGGAGUGAGACACCAUGCCUGGCCCACAUGAAUGUUUUCUUAAUUAUCCUAGGAAAAGUAAAUUCCUUUAUUACAAAUUAUGGGAAAAUACCUGAACAGUGUAGUUCUUGGAAUGAUAUUGAUGAUUGCUUUAGUAAUUUUCACAUUAUUGUAAUGGUACUUGUUAGCUGGAAUUUUGUAAUUGUCAAUUACAUGAUCACAACAUGCAGACACACCAAAAUAUUUUUGUUUCUUCUCCUUCUUUUUUUUUUUUUUGAGACAGAGUCUAGCUCUUUUGGCUAGGCUGGAGUGCAGUGGUGUGAUCUCGGCUCACUACAAUCUCCACCUCCUGGGUUCAAGCAAUUCUCCUGUCUCAGCCUCCUCUGCGCCUGGCCACCCUUAAACAUUUUUGUGACAAUUUUCAUGUGUAAUUCUUACAUUGCUGAAAAUUGAUUUGGGUUAAAAGUGAACCUUCAGGCCCGGUGCGGUGGCUCACACCUGUAAUUCCAACACUUUGGGAGGUCGAGGUGGGUGGAUCACUUGAGGUCAGGAGUUUGAGACCAGCCUGGCCAACAUGGGGAAACCCCAUCUCUACUAAAAACACAAAAAUUAGCCAGGCAUGGUGGCUCACACCUGUAAUCCCAGCUACUUGGGAGGCUGAGGCAGGAGAAUCGCUUGAACCUGGGAGGUGACCGUUGCAGUGAGCCAAGAUAGAGCCACUAUCCUCCAGCCUGGGUGACAGAGUAGGACUUCAUCUCAAAAAAACAAACAAACAAACAAACAAAAAAACCUUUAGAUGGCCUCUCUAGAAGUGGAAGUCAUGGAAAAAUUUGAAAAAUUUCAUUAAUUCCAAAAUGCUUUUAAAUUAAUUUUGAAAAGCAGCAGUUUAACACAUGGAAAUGCUACUUCUUCCUGUAUAUUAAACUUGCUAAAGAAUUUAGAGCUUGUUAGGCAUAUUCUGCAUUGAGAAGCAAUAGUUUAUUAUGUUUUGCCUGUCAAUGCGAAUGUUUUUGUUUAUAUCAUUCUGAGGAUCAUUCGUUUUUCACUUACUGUUCAAUACUAAUUAAUAUUUAUUUGUCAUUAAGCACUUUACAUCAUCAUUUGUCUAGUACUUGGCAAUUUAACUCACUUUCCCAUUUGUUCUGUGCAAAAUGAUUUGCACAAAACUUCUCAAUUCCAUUCUUCCUUUCCCUGCCCUAAGGGCUAAGGGCUUAUUACUAUGCAGUAAGUUGAAGAGGUCAACGGUGUCAGCCAAUGGAUUUCCCCCUACCAAAACCUUUCCUGCCCUUCCAAGGUAGGGGCGAGAUUCAGACAUUUGGGGUGGAUUAUCUGAAGUUUUGUCCUCAUUUAGCUAGAUCAAAAUAUGGUAGAAAGACCAGGGGCUUCAUAAUCACACAAACAAAGUUUUGAAUUCUCAUCCUGUUGUAUAUGGACCUUAUUCCAAACCACUCUAAGACUUAGUUUCAACAUCUUUAAUAAGGGGACAAUACUAACUAAGCUCAUGCAAUUUUUUGAAGAUUAAUAUAUCUAAAGCACCCAGAUUUAGUACCUUACGCAUAUUAGGCUCUGAAUAAAGUUAGCUAAUUUGGGUGAAUAAUAAAUAAGUGUAGGAAGAACAACACAAAAGAGAAUUUAGAAGUAAAUUAACAAGGCAUCUUUUGUGUCUAGGUAGUAUGGUACAGUGGAAAAUGGAUGAGGACCAAUCUGCCUUCAUCAGGCUUCCCAACCAACUGAACGUUCCCCUAAUCUGUGAAAAUGAGCAUAAUCACGCUACUUCAUGGAGUGAUCAUGAUAUAGUUAGGCUCAUCAUAUGAGAUCUUACUUUCCCUUUUCUUGCUUCCCCUUUAAUACUCUUUUAAAAACCAAAAAAGAGAAUUUUAGACCAAUAUCCUUGAUGAACAUUGCUGCAAAAAUCCUCAAUAAAAUACUGG